CUCUCCUGCAUAGUCCAAAAUAAUAUAUAUCACACCCCCAAACCCUUUCCAGCGGCUUUGAACUUUGCAACCCCAGUAUUUUACCAAUGAGUCCCUGAACAAUAUGGCUACCAUCUGGCCAAUAUACUGUAGCGUUGCUAUUGCGCGAUUCUAAUUCUGUGGUCCUAACACAAUGCUGUGCUGUAGGUGUGUUCUAGUGAUCCUAUGACGUUCUAACACAGCCCUGUGUUGUCUCCUAGGUGAAGCACUGGACUGUCUGCGCUGUGUGCCAACUAAGGCAGGAAGAGACUGUGAGGUGACAGUAGAAACCUGCCCCCAGAGAAGGAGGGAUGUGCAGCCGCCAAGUUCCUCAGAGCUCCAUUUGGCCAUUUCCAGAGAUGCAUGGACAUGUCGGGCUGUAAGCAGUUCCAAACCAACGCUUACAUCAACAUGAAGUGCUGUGGCACUGACAAGUGCAACACAUUCUAGAAUCUAUAUACUGGUUAACAUUCUAGAAUCUAUAUACUGGUUCACAUUCUAGAAUCUAUAUACUGUUCACGUUCUAGAAUCUAUAUACUGGUUCACAUUCUAGAAUCUAUAUACUAGUUAACGUUCUAGAAUCUAUAUACUGGUUCACAUUCUAGAAUCUAUAUACUGGUUCACAUUCUAGAAUCUAUAUACUGGUUUACAUUCUAGACCAGGGGUAUUCAAAUCCUUCCAUGGAGGUCUGGAGUACUGCUGGUUUUCUGUUCUACCUGAUCAUUCAUUGUUCCCACCAGGUGUCUAAAUCAGUCACUGAUUAGAAAUGGAAUAAAUAAAAACAGAGGAACUGGCUUUGA